GAGUCGCUCUGGACGCCGCCGGCGAGAGGGGUCUGGAAAUCGGCCAGGAUCAUCGGGGUGCCCAGCGUCAGGUGGUGUUGGUUCGCCUUGUCCGAUCUAACAAAGGUGUCGAAAAAGAAGUAGGGGUGCGCCACGCCGGCAGCGGAGGCGGCGGUCGCGAAGGGCUGGAAGGGGAACCGCGCGCCGCGGCGGAGGAGGUCAAGAUCGAGGGAAGGAAGAAGGGGCUGGGCCAUCGGUGGUACGGCGGCCUCCCGGCUGGAGGACUCGACGGUGCUGCUCUGGCUGCUCGGGCUCCCGGCUGCUCCACCGCCUCCGCCGCCGCUGGGGCUCUGGUAGGCGUCCGGGUAGGGAAAGUUCGUCUUCGCCUUGGAUCCGCGGAAUUCCCGGGCGGCGGCGUCGUACGCCCUGGCGGCCUCCUCCGCGGUGUCGAAAGUCCCCAGCCACACCCGGCUCUUCUUCCCGGGAUCCCGUAUCUCCGCCGCG
rnacentral:lncRNA from 1 species